rnacentral:lncRNA from 13 species
AGUCAUAUUAGAUUUGGUAAUACUUACUAAACAUUUAGAAAAGUAACAUUAUUUUUGGCCAUUAUUUUUGAAUCACUUUAAAUGAAAUAAUGAAAAAAUAAUCGAAGACAAGAGAGACCCACCUUGAUAACUUUCUUCACAUGUCUUCAGAGUUAACAAAAAUGCACGUGGAGAGUCGAGCUCUUGUUAAUAAUUAGUUUCAAGCGCGAGAACAAUAUUCAGCAUACACAUGACGCUUUAGACACUUCGAGAAGUCAUUCGCGUUUUGAGACUCGAGGGAGUAAGUAGCGGCGCGAGCUGCUCCGUGUGUUAUUUCGUGAAACACGAUUGUUUUCUAUUUCACAAGAACUAUAUGACGUUUUAGACAUUUUCAAGAAUUUGGCUGACGCAUGACCUUGUUGUUAAUUGCUCUCGUGUACAACGCGCUGUGUUUACGAAAGGUCGCCGCGCUAUCACUCACGCUCCGAGACUCGAGCGAGUAGGUAGCGGUGCCGCUCCGUGUGUUAUCUCGCGAAACGCGAUCGUUCUCCGUUUCGCAAGUUAAUCCCGGCGGCUCCGUUUUUGAAUUGUUAACGAAAGGCCGCAGAUCGAAACGACAAAUAGCUUCGCAGCUCAUUCGCGCGCGUACAAUGAGGCUUUUAAUUUUUCCGUCGCAAUAUAACUAAGUAUUUUGUGAUAAUAACGUCGGGAGUGCCGUACGAAGUUUCACGCGAUCGUUUAUUUUUUACGGUGAUAUGUAAUUAAUCGGUGUUUUCGCGAGUGAGUGUCGUUGCCACGGAGGAACAAGAGGAGAGGAGGAGAAGAUUCAGAACGGCAUCGGGCGUCGGCGGAGCAACCAUAGAGAUUUACAGGAUCUAAGAGGAGGAGGAGGCUUGAGAGAAGCAUCGGGCCUCAGCGGAGCAACCUUGGGUAAUCACCGUAGCUUCGUGGCUGUUUAACUCCGCUCGUUGCGCA